AGUUAAUGUGCAAUGCUGAGUCAGGUACUGAAGUUGAGAAUGGCUGGGACAGUGACUUGUCUACUAUCUUGCUGCUGCUACAUCUGCUACCACCAUCUGCACAAGGGCGAAAGACACCAGGAAAGAUGUCUGCAUCUCAAGCUGUCAAUAACCUCAUCAAAUUCCCAAAGGCUGGAACCAGUGUACAGCAGCAUCUAGACAACAUCACCCGAAGCAGUCAGCCCUACCUUCUUACUCAGGGAUCCACAAGAAGCAGCAUUCACACCUUCAUUGUGAUUGA